rnacentral:rRNA from 1 species
UUGAACGCUGGCGGCAUGCCUUACACAUGCAAGUCGAACGGUAACAGGUCUUCGGAUGCUGACGAGUGGCGAACGGGUGAGUAAUACAUCGGAACGUGCCCGAGAGUGGGGGAUAACGAAGCGAAAGCUUUGCUAAUACCGCAUACGAUCUCAGGAUGAAAGCAGGGGACCGCAAGGCCUUGCGCUCACGGAGCGGCCGAUGGCAGAUUAGGUAGUUGGUGGGAUAAAAGCUUACCAAGCCGACGAUCUGUAGCUGGUCUGAGAGGACGACCAGCCACACUGGGACUGAGACACGGCCCAGACUCCUACGGGAGGCAGCAGUGGGGAAUUUUGGACAAUGGGCGCAAGCCUGAUCCAGCCAUGCCGCGUGCAGGAUGAAGGCCUUCGGGUUGUAAACUGCUUUUGUACGGAACGAAAAGACUCUGGUUAAUACCUGGGGUCCAUGACGGUACCGUAAGAAUAAGCACCGGCUAACUACGUGCCAGCAGCCGCGGUAAUACGUAGGGUGCGAGCGUUAAUCGGAAUUACUGGGCGUAAAGCGUGCGCAGGCGGUUAUGUAAGACAGAUGUGAAAUCCCCGGGCUCAACCUGGGAACUGCAUUUGUGACUGCGUAGCUAGAGUACGGCAGAGGGGGAUGGAAUUCCGCGUGUAGCAGUGAAAUGCGUAGAUAUGCGGAGGAACACCGAUGGCGAAGGCAAUCCCCUGGGCCUGUACUGACGCUCAUGCACGAAAG